rnacentral:rRNA from 1 species
GACGAACGCUGGCGGCGUGCUUAACACAUGCAAGUCGAACGGAAAGGCCCUGCUUUUGUGGGGUGCUCGAGUGGCGAACGGGUGAGUAACAAGUGAGUAACCUGCCCUUGACUUUGGGAUAACUUCAGGAAACUGGGGCUAAUACCGGAUAGGAGCUCCUGCUGCAUGGUGGGGGUUGGAAAGUUUCGGCGGUUGGGGAUGGACUCGCGGCUUAUCAGCUUGUUGGUGGGGUAGUGGCUUACCAAGGCUUUGACGGGUAGCCGGCCUGAGAGGGUGACCGGCCACAUUGGGACUGAGAUACGGCCCAGCCUCCUACGGGACGCAGCAGUGGGGAAUAUUGCACAAUGGGCUGAAGCCUGAUGCAGUAACGCCGCGUGCGGGAUGACGGCAUUCGGGUUGUAAACCGCUUUCGCCUGUGACGAAGCGUGAGUGACGGUAAUGGGUAAAGAAGCACCGGCUAACUACGUG